rnacentral:lncRNA from 1 species
AUUAGUCUUUGUAAUAUGAGUAAAAUACCUGCAAGGACAAUUCAUUCAAUAUUAAUUAUAAUGAAACCAUAAUGUACUUAUAUAUGUCUCUUAAUCCCCUACCCCUACCCCAAUGCUAACGUUGAUUUUUUUAGAAUUUUGUCUUCACAACAAUAGCUACAAUAGACUGUUUGCAAGAAAAUAUUCAAUGGUGGUACAUGUCAUGUGAUAAGUGUCACAAAUUGGCUACUAAAGAAACCGACAAGUAUUAUUGCAAGAAUUGUGGUAUAUAUCCAGAAAACGUCACACCACGGUAAGCAUAUUAUAUUACUAAAAUAUGAACAAGAAUUGUUAUAUUGUAUUUACUCUCCACUAACAUGAAUUGUAUGUUAGGUAUCGUGUUCGUCUCCAAAUUAGUGACCAUACAUCUACUACAAGCUGCACUUUAUUUGACGAGGAGGCUGCAAGAUUGCUUAAUACGUCUGCAUCUAAGUUGCUGGACACACUAGAUGGGAAAUCAGAAGAAGCGCCAAAGAUUAUUCGACAAUUAUAUGGAAAAAGACUUAUAUUUCGAUUCAAGCUCAAUGAUAGUAAUCUCACAUUUGGCACACAAAACUAUGCAGUAAAAAGAACAUUUGAGAUGAAUGCAUUGAGACGAAUAUGCCUAAACAAAACGAAAAAGGUGUCCGCGGGAACAAGAAACGUGUUAAAGCAAAAGCCAAAAAUACAAUGCUUGAAGAUGAAGAUGAAGUACAGAAAGCAAGGCCCAGGAGAACAAGGAUGUUAUCUAGAUAAUUAGUGGAUCAGUAGCUUAUGAACAUGAUAAGUAAGAGUACUUGACAUGGAUGAGGAUAAGAAGGAUAUUAUUAGAUUAAGGGUGUGAGUGUUACCAAUGUUCUUAGACAUCUAGAUAAUUAGUGGAUCAGUAGCUUAUGAAAUAAAUAGUACAACAGUCUAUUUGUAUCGACCAAGAUAAGUAAGAGUAUUUGACAUCGACUUGGAUAAGAAGGAUAUUAUUAUAUUAAGAGUGUGAAUGUUACCGAUGUUCUAAAACAGAUUAAUUUAGUUUCUUCAUGUACUUCCCUUUAUGUACAAGCUAUUUUCAGCAAAUCUGUACAAGCCAGCACAAUAGGUAGAAACACACUACGGGACCAUAGUUUCCACAUUAGGAUUCAAGUCACAGUUUGAAGAAAUUAUACUUUGGCAAAUCUAUACCCGACCAUCGCCAUAUAGAGGAACGUACCAGUUAUAAGCAAGUCAAUGGCGUCUUGCUGGCAACUGGAAUAUGUUUCUCCGUUACUUGAUGUGGUUACCAGACGUUACUUGAGAAAAUUCAACAAGUUAGCUUUUGCACAACAAACCUAUAAAAAUAUUAAUAUCCAAGAUGACAUAUUAAAACAUAGAAGAUAAGGCCUUUACAGCUUAAGAAAAUAAACAAGAAUUAAUCUUCGGUACAAAGGAUGCAUAUCAUCAGUUUGCACUUACAUUUAAAGUAGUCUGACAGCAAGAACAAUGAGGAGGACAUCAUCUCACGGUACUCAGAUCCAAUCAUUCACCACCAGCAGGUGACUCGGUGAGUUCCCUCAUAGCCUCCUCCACUGGGCCAAACUACAACACCUCUGCCAUGGUUUUCUAGCCGUCGGCCAUGUCAUCUUGGUCAAAACCCUUGAGAACGCUCCGCCGAACUCCAUGAGGUCAUCUAGGAUCUAGAUCCUUGAGAACGCGAUGAACGCGUUCGCGCACUCCGCACAACGGCAAACUGCGCCAGACGAAGAGAAGUUGGAAGAAAUGAAUGGAGAAGUGCAGUCGUGAUGGUUUGGGAAUUAGUCCGCUGAUGGCAAGCGACGAGAUCUUCAUCAGCCAGAUAAUGGAGAGGUGGUGCAGGCGGAUGGAUAAGGUUGCUGGUGGG